AAAAGAACGAGCAGUAUUCCCAUAUAAGAAUAAUUAAAAGUUGAUCCAAAAAUCUAAAUUAUCAUAUACAUUCCAAAAUAUCGCCUACCUCAAUUGAAUUUUUUAAACCAACUAAUGUAUGAAGGUGGUAAUAAAUCUUAAGUACCAAAACUCUGUAUGCUGUAGAAGGUGACCCCAAAAGCAAAAGGAACAGAGAAAAGCCUAAUUCUCUGUUCUAAGUAUAGGAACUUGAAUACCAGCAUCUAUAUAGGGACUGUACAUGUUGUUCUAAAAUGUCCAGUCUGAUGACAGCGGCUGCAAUGAACUGGUCGUUUAACUCGCCCACCAUCUUCUGUACGCACUCUCUUUUUCCUUGAUUUUCCUGGCGGUGGCCGGAAGGACCUUGGCGGGUUUAUCCUGGGCCCAACAUCGUUAUAGCCUUCAUUCCUCCAAAGGGCUUUAUCCGGAAUUGGGUGUAUGGUCUGGGAGUAUGCCUUGCGAUAAUUUGCCACAGUGAAACAGCUUUCAGCAAACCGAUAAACAUUCUGCCUGCAAAACAUGAGAGCUGCCACAGCAUGAUCACAGGGCAAGCCACGUAGCUGCCAUCCACGACACGAACACUGACGGCUACGAAUGUUCACUAUAUGCGAUCCUUCUCUAGAGACAACUUCAAACUCAGCAUCGUUUGCUUUGAGAACAUGGCAAUUGUGUGCACGCUUGAUAGCUUCGGAGACUUGCAAUUCAGCAGAUGGAACGAGUGUGCUUGCCCACUGCAAACUUGUUUCACGCCGCUCAUUGAUCAAUGUCAUCAACUGUCGACGAAUAUACUCCAUCAUUUGAAUUAUUGGAAAUCCAGAGGAUUCCAGUAUCAGAGCAUUUAAAGAUUCAACAAUGUUAGCUGUUAGCUGUCCAAGUCUUGUUCCUUCAAAACAUGCCGUAGCCCACAAGCACGGGUCAAUGCUUCUUACCCAACAUGCUGCUUGCGGUGACAUCUCCUCAAUCAGAAAGAUUUUUUGCUCAAACUCCAUUACAGUGAGAGCGUUAGCAGCUUCCCAGAAAAGGUUAAUUAGGAUGGUGUUGUUGAACUCCUUGCGGAAACUUUCUGCAAGAAGAUGCAAGCAGAAUCCAUGAAAAGCUGUUGGGAAGUUUACUUCUAUUCCGUCAACAAUACCCUUCUGUCUGUCCGAAAGAAUUGUAAGCUUAGGCAUGUUUUCUGUGUUGGCUUCAAGCAAGUUAUGCAGCUCAGAAAGGAACCACAUCCAGUUAUCGUCAUUUUCAUUAUCAACCACGCCAAAUGCCAAAGGAAAUGCAGUGCUAUCACCAUCAAAACCAGUGGCAAAAAGCAAGGUCCCGACAUACUUGCUUCUCAGAAGAGUUCUAUCAAGUCCAAUAAGAGGCCAGCAUCCAUUCAAAAAUCCAUAUAUUGAUGCUUGGAAUGAGAUAAAUAGCCGUUCAAAACAAUUGUCAACAGGAUUCCCGUAAACCACUGCAAUGCUUCCAGGAUUCGUCCUUCGUAGCUGAUCACAAUAAAGUGGGAGGAGGUGAUACUCUUCCUCGAAUGAUCCACGAACAGUAGCCAAGAACCGCUCCUUUGCCCUCCAGGCUUGCUUGUAGGAUAAUGUGAUCCCAUGAACUCGAUGUAUCUCCUCAAGUAUCUCCUUUGGCGUGUAAUGAGGGUUCUCUUUGAGGCGCUGUUCAAUGGAGUCUGCAACCCAUUGGACGGAGGCUUGCAGAUGACCGAGAUGUGUAAUUCCACCACAAGUAUGUUCCUCAUGAAUAGUCCUGAUAGUGAAUGUAGGAACACCUGGGAGCUUUGCCACAUGAAUUCGCCAAGGGCAUCCCUCACUUGCACAUUUAGCAGUGAAACGAGUUUUGUCAGACUUGAUUGUUUGCAUCUCAAAGUGAAAAGCAAUCGCUGCAUCUCUGAGUGCUCUUCGGCAGCUGUGAACAUCAGGAAACUCUUGCCCAACAGUCAGUUCUAGCGCUUGAGACUGAAGGAUAGGUGGAUCUCUCACUAUCAGUGGCUGCUGAAAAUUCUCAUCUGAGAUUUGAACAAUACCCAUCUCCUGAUUUUCAUUAAUAUCAGCAUACUCUACUGUAGCCAACUCAUGAUUCUCUCGUGAACCUACUUCAUAGCUUUGAUCUGUGCCAGUCAAGUGAUUUUCAUGGUCCUCAACAUUAGUAUUGUUUUGAUUAAUAUCAGCAUUGUCUUCUCUAUCAAAAUAUGCUCCAUUCUCUUUAAAAUAGUGAACAUCUCCAUGUCGCUGAACUGAAUCAUGUUCAUUGGCCUGACUAAGAACUAGUUGGUCAUCAGUGUGUCCUAAGCUGAAGUCUCCAACAUAGUCAUUGGCAACAUCCACAUCCAAAUUAUGACCGUUGAUGUCUGACAAAUCAAAAUUAUGACUAUGAACUAAUACUGAACUGCAACUAUGUCCUGGUUCCAAGUAUUGAUUCUGCCUCAACAGUAAAUCAUUAUGCUCCAUAAUAAAUCAAAUACGCAACAGGAAUAACCUGCACUUCGAAAAGCAUUCAAGAAUCAACAUCAUUUUGGUUCAGUUUUAAACUGAAUAACAAACAUAUGCCUUCACUGUAAAUUCGAACUGAACUACACAUAUCUAGUGAAAAAACAGAACGUGUGCAUCUAUCGAACAGAGCAAAGCAUUAAUAAAAAUCAUAGAACAUCAAAUCAACAUCCCUAAAAUUUAUGGAUAUCUAAAACUCGUUACCAUAAACCUGUUUGGUUGCCCAGAAACAUGAAAAAUUGAAAUAUUAGAGUCUCUUUUUUUUUUUUAAAAAAAAUGCAAAUUAAUCGAUUGAUAUCCCAUAUGUGGGCUGUAAAUUUCCAAGUAGAUAUUGUUUUCUUUACAUUCAUUGUGGGAAAUUUGACAUCAUUGAUUCUGUCUUCUACAAACAUUUCAUGAUGUGGG
rnacentral:misc_RNA from 1 species